rnacentral:lncRNA from 1 species
UUGCCACUUGAUUGACAAGUGUAACCCAAACAAAACAUUCUCUCCCUAGAUCUGCUGUGAUUGUUCCUUUUCACAAACCACAAUGACUCUGGAGAACCUGGCUGUAAACACCAGCACUGCCACCAGCUAAGGAUCUGUGAUCAGGAGUGCCAUGUCACGGUGACAGGGUCAGAUUCAGACAAUCCAGUGGAGCACUCUGAAGGUUAGAGGAAGUUGUCCAAUAGAAUUUUCUGGAAUUAUGGAAAUAUUCUAUUUUUUUGUAUCCAGUAUCUAGUCACAUGUGGCUAUUGAGCACUGGAAAUGUGGCUAAUGCAACCGAG